UGGACACCCCCAUACUUUGCUGAGCUUGAGGAGCAAUUGAUGUCACUCCCACACAACCUGCAAAUGAAAAUAGUGUUUGAAAAAAUGUGUGCGAGUAAAGUAAUAAGGACAUCUUAUCAUUCUAGGUUCUUAUUCAUGGAGGUAGCUCUGGCCCCUUUCAUUGUCAAAGUAGAAAGGAGUCGCAUAGGUUGGAUUAAGGAAUACUUAGAUCCCUAUGAUGUUCAGAUGAACAGUUUGUAGAUGGGGUCUGUACCUUUGGCUUAAUGCUUGUGGCAAGAAUGACCUUAGGCUCCACAUCCGCCUGCUCUAAUUUCUAGUGGAGUAGGCUAGCUUGCCCGUCAAACACACAGAGACAAACCGUUGUAUCCCUGCAUAAUUUUCUGCAAUUGAAAGUUGUUCUUAUGAGGCUAACUUUACCUAUGAU
rnacentral:lncRNA from 1 species